rnacentral:rRNA from 1 species
AUUGAACGCUGGCGGCAUGCUUUACACAUGCAAGUCGAACGGUAACAGAUUAAGCUGACGAGUGGCGAACGGGUGAGUAAUGCAUCGGAACGUGCCCGAUCGUGGGGGAUAACGCAGCGAAAGCUGCGCUAAUACCGCAUACGAUCUGAGGAUGAAAGCGGGGGACCGUAAGGCCUCGCGCGAUCGGAGCGGCCGAUGUCAGAUUAGGUAGUUGGUGGGGUAAAGGCCCACCAAGCCGACGAUCUGUAGCUGGUCUGAGAGGACGGCCAGCCACACUGGGACUGAGACACGGCCCAGACUCCUACGGGCGGCAGCAGGGGGGAAUGUUGGACAAUGGGCGAAAGCCUGAUCCAGCAAUGCCGCGUGCAGGAAGAAGGCCUUCGGGUUGUAAACUGCUUUUGUACGGAGCGAAAAGGUCCUUUCUAAUACAAGGGGCUCAUGACGGUACCGUAAGAAUAAGCACCGGCUAACUACGUGCCAGCCGCCGCGGUAA